UUUAGGAGCCAAUGAUGUGUUCAAAAUGUCUGAACCUGUCUGAAGCAUCCCAGUGAUGCCACAUCUUUGUGAUGCUGAGGCUUCUUGCUA